rnacentral:sRNA from 1 species
CAACAAUGAAAGGAGGUGAUCCAGUGUCUUACACCAAGCGCUGUCACCUCGCUGGGAUCGCCCGCUAAGCUCUCAAAGCUUCGCAACUGGGCGUCUCAGCGCCUGGACCAGCGAGUUAUGAAAGUUGGGGCGCGACGGGAGCCAUCCCGUCGCGUC